rnacentral:rRNA from 1 species
AUUGAACGCUGGCGGCAUGCCUUACACAUGCAAGUCGAACGGCAGCACGGGAGGCAAUCCUGGUGGCGAGUGGCGAACGGGUGAGUAAUAUAUCGGAACGUGCCCGGUCGUGGGGAUAACGUAGCGAAAGCUACGCUAAUACCGCAUACGAUCUAUGGAUGAAAGCGGGGGAUCGCAAGACCUCGCGCGAUUGGAGCGGCCGAUAUCAGAUUAGGUAGUUGGUGAGGUAAAGGCUCACCAAGCCGACGAUCUGUAGCUGGUCUGAGAGGACGACCAGCCACACUGGAACUGAGACACGGUCCAGACUCCUACGGGAGGCAGCAG